AAUGCAGCGCGCCGCCCAGGAGCCCCCCGAGGUUCGCACGAAGCCACUCGGGCUCCCGCAGGCCCGGUCGGCCCGGCGCCUCUUGGGGCUGACGCCGUCCGCGCCAUCUUGACCGAGGGCAGCUUUCCACUGUUUCCGUUCUUUCUCCGUAAAGGGCCGCCGUCGUCAGUGAGGGCGAAACAAAAUCUGAAUCCAGCACAUGGGCCUCCAUUUUGCAACCACUGUUUUAAGGAAGAUUUCUUAGGGAAUGACGGUCUAGGGCAGAAUAGAAAAAUGAGUACCUCCAGCAAGAUAAUAUCCUUAUCUUUCCCUCCGCGUGCACAGAUAAUUUAAGCCGUCUGUUCUCAUAGUUUUUCUCAGUCAACCAUAAAGCUGAUUAUGCAGUAUUUUUUUUAAAGUGGUGUGUUUACAAAAGUGAAAUCAUGAAACUCGGAGAAAUAGAAACUUUUGAAACGAGUUUUGACAUUCUUGACCCCAAGGGCCUGUGUUGGAUAUGUACCUAGUUGAAAGUGGUUUCUUAGUGGCCUGGUGACUUCUUAAUACUCCCAAGCAUCACUUGUGCUUCCCACGAGGCCCCUAAGGAAUGGCCGUGUAAUAUCCAGCAGUUUCUUAGGGCCCUCCAGUUUCCUCCAGCCUCUUAGACUUGAAGAUUGUGUGCUGUAUCUCAGUAUUCAUCUUCUUGAGUCAAGCUUCAUCCAUUUUGUUCUUUGUGGCAGAUUUGACUAUUCCCAGUCCUUUCCCAGACUGGCUCUCAUUUGGAACAAAAGCAAGGCCUGUGGAAUGCAUCGGAAAAAGCAGAAUAUGCUCUGGACGGAAGGUUGACCAGGAGGCUUUUUGGUCUUACUAUUCCUGUCCCACUUCACUUCUGUCCCUUUAAAGCCUCAUCCUUAUCAUAAGUCCUACAGUAACCUCAACCAGGGCACUCCAAGACAUGCCAGCCUUGAAAAAUAAUGAGAAUGUCCAAAGUCCUAGGCAUGUGUGUUGUUUUUCUUUAUUAUAUUUUAUGUUAGAGGCAGAGUCUGACUCUUGUCCAGGCUAGAGUGCGGUGGCAUGAUCUUGGCUCACCACAGCCUCUGCCUCCCAGGUUCCAGCGAUUCUCAUGCCUUGGCUUUCUGAGUAGCUGGGAUUACAGGCAUGCACCACCGCACCUGCAUAAUUUUUGUAUUUUUAGUAGAGAUGUCGUCCAUGAAAAAAAAAAAUACAUCGCUAAAUUUAGUUUCCUCCUUUUGGGGGAAAAGGGAGGACACUAUUAGAAUGUCAUUCUGUGUAUGAGAUGCUGGCAGUACACAGUUGUCUUUGCUUUUCAUUUUCUUACUUGACAGAAUAAAAUGGUGACAGAAAAACGUUUUUUUUUUUUUUUGAGCUGGAAUUUCAGUCACAUCACCCAGGCUGGAGUGCAACGGCAUGAUCUUGGCUCACUGCAACCUCCACCUCCCAGAUUCAAGCGAUUCUCCUAUCUCAGCCUCUUGAGUAACUUGGAUUACAGCCACCUGUGACCACACCCAGCUAAUUUUUGUAUUUUUAGUAGAGACAGGGCUUCACCAAGUUGGCCAGGCUGGUCGAACUCCUGAGCUCAGGUGAUCCGCCUGCCUCAGCCUCCCAGUGUUGGCAUUACAGGCGUGAGCCACUGCUCUCUGCCUCCAUUAACAUUUUUUAUGUUAUCAGAUAAGAUAUUAAGUCUACAAAAAGUGUGAGGCUCGGCACUGGGCCUGGAGAUGUGAAGGAUCUUUGGAUGCUGAUGACAGACUCAGAUCAUGUUUCUUAAAGGAAAUAAAGCACAUUCUCCUUUCCCUCUAAAGGUGUUACAGGUAGAUGGGACCUAAGUUAAGGUGGAGAAAAAAGGGUAAAAUAAAGAUAAUCUGAGGAAGAGAGGAGGGACACUCCAGAAAGCAGGACUGGGUUGUGUGAGCAGAGGCAGGGAGGUGAACAGGAGCAGCAGCUGCCUCAGGUGCCCACAGAGUCCAGGAGAUGCUUUCCUCUGCAGGCCACUCACUGUCAGGAGGCCUAGAUUGAUCUCCUUUCCUCAACUGUCUGGACCUGGCCCUCCAGUGUGGUAGAUACUAGCCACAUGUGGCUGUUGAGCACCUAAAAUGUAACUAGUGUGACUGGGGAACUGAAUUUUUUUGUUUUAUUUAAAUUAAAUUUUAAAACCACAACAGUCCAGAACACGCAAAGCAGGCACAAAUGCCAAAAACAUCUACACAGGCGUAUCAUAUGUAAGCCUCCAGAAAUCAAAGACAAAAUCUUGAACGAAGCCAGAGGAAAAAAGAGACCUUACAUAUAGAAGAGCAGUGAUAAGAAUUACAUCACGCCUCUCUUCAGAAACCAUGGAAGCCAGGAGAGAGGAAACUAUUUUAAAAGCACUGAAAAAAAAAAAGAAAGAAACAGCCUAGAAUUCUAUAACCAGAGAAAUUAUCCUUCAAAAGUGGAAGGGAAGUAAAGACUCUCAGACAAAAAUGGAGGGAAUUUGUUGCCAGUAGACCUGCUUUCCAAGAAACAUUGAAGAAAUUCUUUAGAGAGAAGGCAAAUAGGCCAGGCAUGGUGACUCACACCUGUGAUCCUAGCACUUUGGGAAGCCGUGGCAGGUGGAUUGCCUGAGUUCAAGACUUUAACACCAGCCUAGCCAACAUGAUGAAGCCUUGUCUCUACUAAAAAUACAAAACAAUUAGCCGGACGUGGUGGCACACGCCUGUAAUCGCAGCUACUCAGGAAGCUGAGGCAUGAGAACCACUUGAACCUGGGAGGUAGAGGUUGCAAUGAGCGGAGAUCGUGCCACUGCACUCCAACCUGAGCAACGGUGAGACUGUCUUAAAAAAAAAGAAGCCAAGGCCGGGUGCGGUGGCUCAAGCCUGUAAUCCCAGCACUUUGGGAGGCCGAGGCGGGUGGAUCACGAGGUCAAGAGAUCGAGACCAUCCUGGUCAACAUGGUGAAACCCUAUCUCUACUAAAGAUACAAAAAAUUAGCUGGGCAUGGUGGCGUGUGCCUGUAAUCCCAGCUACUUGGGAGGCUGAGCAGGAGAACUGCCUGAACCCAGAAGACGGAGGUUGCAGUGAGCCGAUAUUGCACCAUUGCACUCCAGCCUGGGUAACAAGAGCGAAACUCCAUCUCAAAAAAAAAAAAGAAGCCAAAUAAUGUAGCUUAGAAAUUCAGAUCUGCGUAAAGAAAGGAAGAGCAUUAGAGAAGGAAUAAGUAGAGGUAAAAAUGUUUUUAACCUUAAUUGAUCUGACAGCAUUUGGCCACAAAUAAUAACUUGCAUUUGGUAAUUACAGCAUAUGGAUAAGUAGUAUGAUUAUUGAACCUUAUGGAAAUAAAUGACAGCAGUGUUGUAGGGGAUGGGAGGUAGUAAAUGUUAAUGCUCUGUUAUAAGGUACUUGUCCUAUUCAUAGGUGGUAUAGUAUUAUUUGAAAGGGAACUUGAGUUAGUUAUAAAUAUAUACUGCAAGCUGGGCACCGUGGCUCACACCUAUAAUCCCAGCACUUUGGGAGGCUGAGGCAGGUGGAUUGCCUGAGGUCAGGAGUUCGAGACCAGCCUGGCCAACAUGUUGAAACCCCAUCUCCACUAAAAAUGCAAAACUUAGCUGGGCAUGGUGGCAGGUGCCUGUAAUCCCAGCUACUCAGGAGGCUUAGGUAGAAGAAUUGCUUGAACCCAGAAGACAGAGGUUGCAGUGAGCCAAGAUCACACAACUGCACUCCAGCCUGGGUGACAGAGCAAAACUCCAUCUCAAAAAAAAAAAAAAAAAAAAAAAAAAAAACAAUGUACACUGCAAACUCAAGAGCAAUCAUUUAAACUAUGGAAAUAAGUUAAAAAAUAAAUGAAACUAGGCCAGGUGCGGUGGCUCACACCUGUAAUCCCAAUGCUUUGGGAAGGCUGAGGUGGGCAGAUCACCUGAGGUUAGGCAUUCGAGACCAGCUUGGCCAACAUGGUGAAACCCUGUCUCUACUAAUAGUACCAAAAAAUUAGCCAGACAUGGUGGCGCGCACCUGUAAUCCCAGCUACUCAGGAGGCUGAGGCAAGAGAAUCACUUGAACCCGGGAGGCAGAUGUUGCAGUGAGCCAAGAUCACGCCAUUACACUCAAGCUUGGGCAACAAGAGCAAAACUCCGUCCCAAAAACAAACAAAAAUAAUUUUUAAAAUAAAAAGCAAACACAUUUGAUAGACUAAAUGAGGAGAAAAAGAUCAAAUCAUAUUGAAUGCUUAACUUAAAACCAGAGAAGGCAGGUCGGACAUGGUGGCUCACAUCUGUAAUCCCAGCACUUUGGGAAGCUGAGGCAUGUCAAUCACCUGAGGUCAGGAGUUCAAGACCAGCCUGGAUAACAUGGUGAAACGCCAUCUCUACUAAAAAUACAAAAAUUAUCUGGGCAUGAUAGCACAUGCCUAUAAUCCCAGCUGAGACAUGAGAAUCACUUGAAACUAGGAGGCAGAGGUUGCAUUGAGCCAAGAUCAUGCCAUGUGCUCCAGUCUGGGCAACAGAGCAAGACUCUGUCUCAAAAAAAAAAAAAAAAAAAAAAAAAAGAACAUGAGCAGCAAAUAGAAAACAGUAACAUGGGCCAGGCGCAGUGGCUCAAGCCUGCAGUACCAACACUUUGGAAGACUUUAAGGCCAGUGGAUCACUUGAGGCCAGGAGUUUGAAACCAGCCUGGCCAAUGUGAUGAAACCCUGUCUCUACCAAAAAUACAAAAAUUAGCCAGGCAUGGUGGCACAUACCUGUAACCCCAGCUAUUUGGGAGGCUGAGGCAGGAGGCUCGCUUGAAUGCAGGAGGCAGAAGUUGCAGUGAGCUGAAUUCACACCAUUGCACUCCAGCCUUGCAGUGAGCUGAAUUCACACCAUUGCACUCCAGCCUUGCAGUGAGCUGAAUUCACGCCAUUGCACUCCAGCCUAGGCAACAGAGGGAGACUGUGUCUCAAAAAAAAUAUAUAUAUAUAGUAACAUGGUAGAUAUUCAGCUGUAUCAAUAAUCACUUUAAAUGUCGGUGAUCUCAACACACAAAAAACACACUGUCAGCAUGAAUGAGCCACACAAGACCCAAACAUGUUGUGUACAAGAGAACCACCUUAAAUUUAAAGACACAUUUAGAUUAAAAGUAAAGGGAUUGGCCAGUUAUGAUGGCUCAUGCCUAUAAUCUCAGCACUUUAGGAAGCCAAGGAGGAGGACUGCUUGAGGACAGGGGUUCAAGACCAGCCUGGCAACAUAGUGAGAACCUGUCUCUACAAAAUUAAGAAAAAAAAAAGUUUUGAUUAGCUGGGCCUGGUGGCGUGCACCUGUAUUCCCAGCUACUCAGGAGACUGAGGUGGGAGGAUCACUUGAGCACAGGAGAUUGAGGCUGCUGUGAGCCAUGAUCAUGCCUCUGACCUCCAGCCUGGGCAAUAGAGACCCUGUUCCAAAAUUAAAUAAGUAAAUAAAUGAAGAAGGAUAUACCAUACUAACACUAAUCAAAAGAAACCUAGAGUAGCUAUAUUUCAGAAAAAAAACAGACUUCACAGCAAAUAAAAUUAGGAAUAAAGAAGGGCAUUGCAUAAGAUAAAGAGGCCUAUUCUUUAAGAAGGCAUAACAAUCCUUAAUGUGUGUAACCAGGCAAAAGAGUGGUAAACUACGUCAGGCAAAAACUGAUAAAACUACAAGGAGAAAUAGCUGAAUCCGCUAUUAUAGUAGGAGACUUCAACACCCCUCUAUCAGUAAUUGAUGCAUCUACCAGGAAGAAAAUCAGUAAAGACAUAGUUGAAUCAAAUAACAUCAUCAGUCAACUAGAUCUGAUUGACAUCUAUAGAAUUCACCUAACAGCAACAUACACAUUCUUCUCCAGCUCACACAGAACAUUCACCAAGUAGACCACAUUCUGAGCCAUAAAAAAAACACCUCAACACGUUUUAAAGACUAGAAAACUUGCAAUGUCUGCUUUCAGACAACAAUGGAAUUGAACUAAAAAUUAAUAACAUAUUAGCCAUGCACAGUGGUGUGUGCCUAGAAUCCCAGCUACUCGGAAGAGUGAGGCAGGAGAAUCACUUAUGCCCAGCCUGGGCAACUUAGCAAGACCCUGUCUCAAAAAAAAAAAAAAAAAAUGACAGCUGGAAAAUUCCAACAUACUUGGAGAUUAAACAACACACUUAUAAAUAAUGCUUGGGUGAAAGAAUAAGUCUCGAGAGAAAUUUCGAAAUAUUGAACUAAAUGAAAGUGAAACCACAACUUAAAAUGUGUAGGAUUCAGCAAAAGCAGUGCUUGGAGGGAAAUGUGUAGCAGUAAAUGCAUUAUUUAAAAAGGAGGUCUGAAAUCAAGAUUCCACCUUCAGAGGCUAGAAAAAAGACCAAAAUAAGUAGAAAAAGAAUAAUGAAAAUUGAAGUAGAAAUAAAAGAAAUUGAGUAGAGGAAAUCAGUACAGAAAAUCAGUGAACCCAAAAGCUAGUUCUUUGAAAUAAAAUUGACAGACCUAUAGUAAGGUUAAGGAAGAAAGAGAAGACUAAUUACCAGUAUCAAAAGUAAAAGAGGAACCAUCACUACUGGUCCAUGGACCUUUAUUAUCCAUUAUCCAUGCGUAAUAAAGGGGGAUAUAAUUAAAACUCUGUGCCCACAAAUAUGACCACCUAGAGGAAAUGGAUGGAUUCCUUAAAAGAUACAAUCUGCCAAAACACACAAGAAGAAAAGGAUCAUCUGAAUAGGUCUGUAUCUAUUAAAGACAUUCCAUAAAUAAUGACUGAAAACAAAAGUACAGGCACAGACAGGUUCUCUAAUAGAUGCCAGUAAACAUUUGGGGAAGAAAUUAUACCAGUUAUCUUCAGUCUCCUCCAGAAAAUAGAGGCAAAGGGGGUACUUCCUGACUUACUCUGUGAGGCCAACAUUAUCCUAAUACCAAAACCAAAUCUGACAAUGUAUCGGAAGAAUUAUAUACCACCACCAAAUAGGAUUUACUCCAGGUAUGCAAGACUGGUUCAAUAUUAGAAAAGCAAUUAAUGUAGCCCAUCACAUCAAAUCUAAAAAAGUUAUACAAUCAUAUCAAUAAAUAUAGAAAAGGCAUUUGACAAAAUUCAGUACCCAUUCAUGAUAAAUACUCAGCAAACUAGAAUACAGGAGAACUUCCUCAACUUAAUAAAGAACAUCUACUAAAAUCUUAGAUCAGCUAACGUCAUACUUAGUGGUGAGAAACUAGGUGGUUUCUCCUGAAAAAUGAUAUUAUAUCUCCUGAUCUUAGGAACAGGCAAGGAUAUCACUUCUCACCAUUUCCAUCUAAUGUCACAGCAGAAGUCCUAGCGAAUGUACUAAGACUAGAAAAGGAAACAAAGGUGCCAGGCAUAGUGGCUCACACCUGUAAUGCCAGCACUUUGGGAGGCUGAGGCAGGCGGAUCACGAGGUCAAGAGGUCAAAACCAUUCUGGCCAACGUGGUGAAACCCUGUCUCUACUAAAAAUACAAAACUUAGCUGGGCCUGGUGGUGGAUGCCUGUAGUCCCAGCUAUUUGGGAGGCUGAGGCAGGAGAAUCACUUGAACCCGGGAGGUGGCGGUUGCAGUGAGCCGCCACUACACUCCAGCUUGGUGAUAGAGCAAGACUCCAUCUCAAAAAAAAAAAAAAAAAGGAAACAAAGAUAUAUAGAUUAGGAAGGAAUUAAACUGUCUUUGUUUACAGAUGAUUGUCUGUGGAAAAUCCCAAAGAAACAACAACAACCAAAAAGCAUCCUGGAACUAAUGACCAAUUACAGCAUAAAUUGCUUUCCUAUAUAUCAGAAAUGAACAGUCUGGCCAGGCACAGUGGCUCACAUCUGUAAUCCCAGCACUUUGGGAGGCCAAGGGUGAGGCAGGUAGAUCACUUGAGGUCGGGAGUUCGAGACCAGCCUGGCCAACAUGGAGAAAACCCAUCUCUACUAAAAAUACAAAAAUUAGCCAGGUGCGGUGCCACGUGCCUGUAGUCUCAGCUACUCAGGAGGCUGAGUCAGGAGAAUCACUUGAACCCAGGAGGCAGAGAUUGCAGUGAGCCGAGAUCACGCCAUUGCACUCCAGCCUAGGUGACAAUGAGACUGCAUCUCAAAAAAAAAAAAAAAAACAAAAAAAAAAGAACAAGCCAGGUACAGGUACAGUGGCUCACACCUGUAAUACCAACAUUUUGGGAGGUCAUGGUAGGUGGAUCACUUGAGGCUAAGAGUUUAAGACCAGCCUGGCCAACAUGGGAAAACCCCAUAUCUACUAAAAAUACAACAAUUAGCCAGGCAUGGUGAGGCAUGCCUGUAAUCCCCAGCUACUUGGGAGGUUGAGGCACAAGAAUCACUUGAACCCAGAAGGUGGAGGUUGCAGUGAGCAAAGGUCACCCCACUGCACACUGCAUUCCAGCCUAGACAACAGAGCAAGACCUUGUCUCCAAAAAAAGAAAGAAACACUUAGAAUUUGAAAUUUAAAAUAAUACCACUUACAUUAGCAAUGAAAAAAGAAAUACUUAAGUAUAAAUCUUGACAAAGUACGUGUAAUAUCUGAUAUGGUUUCGUUGUGCCCCUCCCAAAUCUCAUCUUGAAUUGUAGUUCCCUAGUCUCCACACGUCAUGGGAGGGACCAGAUGGAGAUAAUUGAAUCAUGGGGGCGAUUUCCCCUAUCCUCUUGUGAUAGUGAGUUAGUUUUCACAAGAUCUAAUGGUUUUAUAAGGGGUUUACCCCUUUACUGGGCACUCAUUCUCUCUCCUGCCGCCCUAUAAAGAGGUGCCUUCCACCAUGAUUGUAAGUUUCCUGAGGCCUCCUCAAGCCAUGUGGGACUGUGAGUCAAUUAAACCUCUUUAUAAAUGAUCCAGUCUCGGCUAUGUCUUUAUUAGCAGCUUGAGAAAGGACUAAUGCAAUACCUAUGUGAGGAGAACUACAAACCUUGAAAUAAAGAAUGAAAUGAGAGAUAAUGUGUGUUCAUCGAAGGAAGAUGAAUGUUGUUAAGAUAUCAGUUCUUUAUAACUUGAUCUUCAGAUUCUAAGUAGUCCCAGUCAGAAUCCUAGAAAGUUAUUUUCUGAAUAUCAGCAAACAUUCAAAAGUUUAUAUGGAAAGCCAAAAGACUCAUAAUAGCCAAAACAACACUGAAGAACAACAAAGUUGGAGGACUAACACUACCGGACUUCAAGACUUGCUGUAAAGCUAGUCAUCAAGAUAGUAUUGGUGAAAGAAUAGAUAGAUAAAUGGAACAGACUAGAGAGCCCAGAAAUAGACUCAUACAAAUAAAGCCAACUGAUUUUUUACAAAGGAGCAAAGACAAUUCAAUGGAAAAGUGAUAGUCUUUUCCACAAAUGGCACUAGAACUGGACAUCCAUAUGCAAAAAAAUACAUCUAGACCCAGUGUACAAAAAUUAACUCAAAAUGGAUCAUAAACCCAAAUGUAAAACUCCAAGGUGAUAACAGCAGAAAAUCUAGAUGACCUUGGAUUUAGUGAUGACUUUUUAGAUACAACACCAGAAGCAUGAUCCAUAAAAGAAAAAAAAAUUAACACUUUAUUAAAAUUUAAAACUUCCUGCUCUGUGAAAGUUACUGUUAAGACAAAGAAAAUAAAAGCCACAGACUGGGAGAAAAAACUCUGCAGAACACAUAUUUGAUAAAGGACAGGUAUCUAAAACACACAAAGAACUCUUAAAACUUAAUAGGAAAGCAAAUAGACAAAUUAGAAAUGGGCAAAAUAUUUUAGCAGACACUUCGGGAAAGAUAAACAGAUGGCAGAUAAACAUAUGAAGAGAUGCUCAGCAUUACAUGUCAUUAGAGAACUUCAAAUUAAAUCAACUAUUAAUAAUGGCUGAAAUUUGACAAUAACAAAUGCUAGCAAGCAUGUGGAGCAGCAGGAACUCAUAGAUCACUGAUGGUGAGGCAACAUGCACUGCAACCACUUUGGAAGACAGUUUGGCAGUCUCUUACAAAACUAACCAUACUCUUACCAUGCAAUCCAGUGAUCCUCCUUGUCAUAUACCCAAAGCAGUUGAAAACAUGUUCAUACAAAAACCUGCACACAAAUGUUUAUUGCAGCUUUCUUUAUAACUGCCAAAACUUGGAAGUAACCAAAAUGUCCUUCAGGAGGUGAAUGGAUAAAACUGGCACAUCCAUGCAAUGGAAUGUUAUUCACUAAUAAAGAGAAGUGAGCAGGAUUGCCUUUCUCGAGCCAUGAAAAGACAUAAAGGAACCUUAAAAGCAUAUUGCUAAGGGAAAGAAGCCAAUCUGAAAAGGCUAAAUACUCUAUGAUUCCAACUAUAUGACUUCUGGCAAAGCAAAACUCUGGAAACAGCAAAAUGAUUAGAGAUUACUGGGAGGUCAGGGUAUUGAGGGAGGGAAAAAUGAAUAGGUAGAGACCUGAGAUUUUUUGGGCAGUGAUACUGUUCCAUAGGAAACAGUAAUAAUGAACGCAUGUCAUAUAUUUGCCAAAACUCACAUUAGGUACAAUAUAAAGAGUGAGUCUUAAUGUAAACUAUGGAUGUUAGUUAAUAAUAAUGUACUGGGCCAGGUGCAGUGGCUCACACCUGUUAUCCUAACAUUUGGGAGGCCAAGGUGUGCAGAUCACCUGAGGUCGGGAGGUCGGGAGUUCGAGUCCAGCCUGACCAACACGGAGAAAUCCCAUCUCUACUAAAAAUACAAAAUUAGCCAAGCAUGGUGGUGCAUGCCUGUAGUCCCAGCUACUCGGGUGGCUGAGGCAAGAGAAUAGCUUGAACCUGGGAGGCAGAGGUUGCAGUGAGCCGAGAUCCUGCCAUUGCAUUCCAGCCGGGGCAAAAAGAGCGAAACUCCAUCUCAAAAUAAUACUACUACUAAUAAUAAUACAUCAAUAUUGAUUCCCCAGUUAUGACAAGUGUACCACACUAAUACAAGAUGUUUAUAAUACGAGGAACUUGUAGGAAGAAGGUAUGUAAGAAUUCUCCAUUCUUUUCAAUCAAUAUUUUUGUAAACCUAAAAUUGCUCAAUAAAAAAAUAAAGUUUAUUAAAAAACA